UAGGGAAUCUUCGGCAAUGGACGGAAGGCUGACCGAGCAACGCCGCGUGAGUGAAGAAGGUUUUCGGAUCGUAAAGCUCUGUUGUUAGAGAAGAACGUUGGUAGGAGUGGAAAAUCUACCAAGUGACGGUAACUAACCAGAAAGGGACGGCUAACUACGUGCCAGCAGCCGCGGUAAUACGUAGGUCCCGAGCGUUGUCCGGAUUUAUUGGGCGUAAAGCGAGCGCAGGCGGUUCUUUAAGUCUGAAGUUAAAGGCAGUGGCUUAACCAUUGUACGCUUUGGAAACUGGAGGGCUUGAGUGCAGAAGGGGGGAGUGGAAUUCCAUGUGUAGCGGUGAAAUUCGUAGAUAUAUGGAGGAACACCGGUGGCGAAAGCGGCUCUCUGGUCUGUAACUGACGCUGAGGCUCGAAAGCGUGGGGAACAAACAAG
rnacentral:rRNA from 1 species